rnacentral:rRNA from 1 species
UACGGAGGGUGCAAGCGUUAUCCGGAUUCACUGGGUUUAAAGGGUGCGUAGGUGGGUUGGUAAGUCAGUGGUGAAAUCUCCAGGCUUAACUUGGAAACUGCCAUUGAUACUAUCAAUCUUGAAUACCGUGGAGGUCAGCGGAAUAUGUCAUGUAGCGGUGAAAUGCGUAGAUAUGACAUAGAACACCAAUUGCGAAGGCAGCUGGCUACACGAAUAUUGACACUGAUGCACGAAAGCGUGGGGAUCAAACAGG